rfam:Takifugu rubripes chromosome, Chr_5
GUUGGCUAUGGGGACAUGUACCCGGGGACGGUCGGAGGAAAGCUGGUGGGGUCCAUGUGCGCCAUCGCUGGUGUUCUAACCAUCUCGCUGCCGGUCCCCGUCAUCGUGUCGAAC